UUUCCCUACGGGACGCAGCAGUAGGGAAUCUUCCACAAUGGACGAAAGUCUGACGCAGCGACGCCGCGUGAGGGAUGAAGGUUUUCGGAUCGUAAACCUCUGUCAGGAGGGAAGAAAGCGCAUGGCGCCAAUCAGCCAUGCGUUGACGGUACCUCCAAAGGAAGCGCCGGCUAACUCCGUGCCAGCAGCCGCGGUAAUACGGAGGGCGCGAGCGUUAAUCGGAAUUACUGGGCGUAAAGCGCGCGUAGUCUGUUGUGUAAGUUGGGGGUGAAAUCCCACGGCUCAACCGUGGAACAGCCCUUGAU
rnacentral:rRNA from 1 species